rnacentral:lncRNA from 1 species
GGGAGUCCUAGGACAUGUGUGGUGUGGGCUUCUUCAGGUGCUGGUGGUGUUGGCAUGAGGAAAGGAGGUAUCUUCGAGGGACAAUCUUCUUCUUGUGCGAUCCUUGGAGAUGCCAUGAGGCCCCUGGACACAUGUGGUGUGGGCUCCUUUGGAGGCUGUUGUAUCCCUUCUGAAUGUGGCGUGGGCAUAGAAGGAAGGCCAGUGGCCACGAGGGACAAUCUUGGUCUUGGGAGAUCCUGGAAAUGAUAGGGAGUCCCUUGAUAUGUGUGGCAUGGGCUCCUUCAGGUGCUAGUGGAUUCCUUAGGAUGGUGGUGUUGGCAUGAAAGGCAGGCUUGUAUCAUGAGGAAUGAUUGUCAUCUUGUCUGAUUCUUGGAGAUGGCAGGAAGCCCCUGGAAACACAUGGUGUGGACUCUUUCACAGGCUGUUGAAACCCUCCUGAAUGUGAGGCCAGAGACAGGCAGACAGCAGAUGUAUUGCAGGGAGCUGGAUGACAUGGCCCUUGGAACCUGUGCACAUGCCUGCCUUUCUGAUGCACGUCCAUGUUUUCUCUGCACCUCCCCGGUGGUGUUGGUAUAAAAAGCAGGCUUACAUCAGCAAGGGAUGAUUGUCGUCUCAUGCGAUCCUGGGAGAUGGCAGAAGUCCCGGGACACAUGGAGUGUGGGCUCUUUCGGAGGCUGUUGGAUCCCUCCUGAAUGGAUAAAGACUGUGCAUGGAUCGAUGAUGACCUCAAUACAUGCAUUCCUUGGAAAGCUGAACAAAAUGAGUGAAAACUCUAUACCGUCGUCCUCGUCAAACUGAGGUCCAGCACGUGGCUCCAACUGGAGCUGGAGAGAGAGAGACAACUUCCAUUGGUUGAUGUGGUCUGGCAUGGAAGAAGGCCAGAGGCUGCGAUGGAUCAUCUUUGUCUUGGGAGAUUCCUGGAGAUGGUGGGGAGCCCCUGGGCACGUGCAGCAUAUGUGGCGUGGGCUUCUUCAGGUGCUGGUGGAUCCCUCAGGAUGCUUUUCAAGGUUUUUCUAUGAGUUCUGUUAAAGAGUCUGAAAAUGGAGCGUAGAAGACAUGCUUCGAUUUCCAGGAUGGUUGUGUUUUCCAGAGAGGCGGAGGUAAACCACUGGCGCAGCCCUGCCUCCCACAGAUAAUUCCGGGUGCAGUGUUUCAUAUCUAGACUUGGACUUCUAUCCUACCAUACUUCUUUGUGUGCAGUUCAUUGUGGAACCAGCACAGAUUUUCAUACGAAAGUUAUUUCUUUUUAACCUCAAAAAGUGACAGAAUGGAGUGUAUCAUGAAAAAGUCUGACAUCAAAACCUCAAAAUGUGAUAUUGAUUGGGUGAGAUAGAAUUCCAUGGAAUUUCAUUGCCAAACCAGUGAAGUGCUAAUUUUGACAUUUGUACCAGCUAACGUAGCUGUGAAGAAACACACCAAUACACUUCUAAGGACAGCAUAGACCAAGAUCUAGGUUUCAUAUGGAUGAAUUUAUUCUUCCCUUUGAGGCAAGACAAGAAGGAAAGAAAGUAUUGGGAAUAAUGCUGCCCUCCCAUCCUCAAGGGCCAGUGGGAACUCUAAUAUUGAUUGGGUGAGAUACAAUUCCAUGGAAUUUUACCACUGAACCAGUGGAGGGCUAAUUUUGUCAUUUGUACCAGUUAACUAACUUGGGAGGAAACAGAACAACACACUCCUGAGGGUAAAAUGGAAACUCUGAGAGUUUGGUUGGCGGCAUCUAUAUACCAUAGAAACAGAGCCUGGGAAGCAGAACAGUGAGACCCAAGAGAAAUGUUCCUGCCUAUACUUGAUUGGUUUUCACAGAAUUCCAUGGACUUUAACUGCUGAACCAAUGAUGCACUGAUUUUGUCACUUGUACCAGCUAACGCAUCUGGGAGGCAACAAAACAAUACUCUCCUGAGGUUAAUGUGGACCAAAAACUAGAUUUCAUAUAAAAGAGUUUAUUCCUUCUACUUGAGGUGUGACAUGAAGGAAAGUAAUGGAAAUAAUUCUGCCCUCCCAUUCUCAAGGGCCAGGGGGAAUUCAAAUAUUGAACGGAAGUGAUUUUGGAAUUGCAUGGAAUUCUCACUGCCAUCCCAAAGAAAUGCUGAUCUUGUCACUCUUACCUGUUUCAUUCCCUGGGGGCAGAACAAAAGGACGCACUCCAAAGAUCGGCAUGAACCAAGAACUGGGUUUCAUAUAAAAUAUUUUAUUCUGUCCUCUUGAGAUGUGACAUGAGAAAAGUAUUGAGAAUACUUCUAUCACCUCAUCUUCAAGAAUCCGUAGGAAUUCUCCCAUGGUGGACUUUACGGUUAACCUGAACAGGUCUUGGAAAAAGGACUUUAAACAUUCUCCUGUUCUGUGGAAUAAGUAUACUUUUUUCUGGACAUACACCUUGUCAGUGAGUUCCAUGUGAUACUAGAGUUGCAUAGAUUUUUAACCUUUACGCCAAUGAAGAUCUGAGGCAAACAUUGCCCCUUUUUUAGAAGUUUGCAUUUGUCACUGAUAACUGUAAUAAUUGAUCUUGUUGAAAAGCCUGGGAAAUGAAGAUCUGAUAUGUCACUUUUACCGGCUUCCUCAACUGAAAAAGAAUACAAUGAAACACGCUGAGAAUUUUUGUGCUUUCUCAGUCUUGCUGAUGAUCUUUCUAUGGGCCUGAAGCGUGGAGAGUGCCAGAGAGGCUGAUCCUCAGCAGUGUGGCAGAGGAAAGUUGGGUGCGACUAAGGGGUAUGCGGUGCCCACAUGCCACUGGGUCCUCAGCAGUACCACCUGAUUGGAAGUGAUAUUGGUGGAAGACAACAUUUUGCCGCUUGGAAUUCUCACCUCCACACCAAAGAAGUACUGUUUUUGUCAUUUGCACCAGCUUCUUUCUCCAGGAAAGAUCAAAACGAUGCACUGCAAGUGUGAUUGGUCCAGAUAGCUGCCUUAUCCAACUGCCUCCUUUGGACCACUUCAUCAUGGGACAGCUUGAUGCAAUCUACUUGACAAGACCCUGGAACCCCACACCCCUCAUGGAACCAGUGUCCACCUCCCAGUCACAGUGUGACCCCAGGGAACUCUUGCCUGCUUGCUUUAAACCCACCACUUAAAAGUCUCCACAGAAAACCUGUUUGAAUAGUACCCUUGACCCAAUAAGGGCAUUGGCCCCUGGGUGUCUCUCUCUCUCUCUCUCUCUCUCUCUCCCUCUCUCUCCCUCUCUCUCUCUCGCUCCCUGACCUCUGCGUGUGGACUCCAGGCAUGCCAUAUACCCCUCAGGACCUGAAGCAAAAGAAUGAAUUAAAGAAAACUCCAGAGAAUGAGCUGACAACCUACUCCCUGGUCAGUGGCUCUCCAUGCCUACCUGUGGUCUCUUGGACACCCUUGCAGAAGAUGACUUCCUGGGAACUCUUCUGGGAGUGAAUGUUAUCAGCAAAUUCCCAAAACAACACCCCUUAGACAAAAAGCCUCCUCACCUAUGCAUUGCCUAGACCACCCACUAAAGGUGAUGGCCACAAAGAGGUGGAUUUGUUGAGUUGGUGCCAUUCCUUCUACUGCCAGCUUCACCAAAACAAUGACACAGUCUUCCUUCCGCAUGGAGACUCUUCUCUUUCCUGUGUUGCAGUGGAUGCCUCCUGCAGAUAAGAAAUGCUUAACUGAGAAAUGCUCAUGUUGGGAUAUCAUCGAUGAGACUUUAAUUUGGGCAUGGUGACUGUUUCCCUUGCUGCCACUUGACUCAAUCCCAGGAGCCUCAGUAGAGGAUAUAAUAUUACACAAGAUGCUCAAAAUGGUGGAAUUGCUCAGUGCUCCCAUAAAUAUACAUUUAUAAUUUUCAUUUGCCACAUGGUAAACUGAAAAAUACAGACUAUAUUAAAAAGAAACUGCAUGAUUUUUUUUCAAAAAUUCAAAGCAUAUUUAAAUAAUAUAUAAAUUAAAUGCCCUCCUCUCUUCCAAUUCUGUCCCUAUAGUUUUCCUCUAUUAAGUGAACUACAUGCAUUCUUUUAGUGGAUAGAUGCACACAAACACACAAGCCAUUAUGGGGAAGGAUCCACGUGUGUGGCCAUAUUGUAACACAUUUUUCUGCAAAUCACCUCUUUCAUUUAACAGCCCUUAUUCAAUGGCCUUUUUCUUUUUCAGUAGUACAUACACAUCUGUGUCAUUUGUUGAAUGACGACAUGAAUGUUUUGUAGAUAAAAUAUAAUUAAAUGUUUUAAGCAUUUCUCACUCAUAGAUAUUUAUGUUAGCACCAAAUUUCUGUGCAAUGAACCUCCCUAUAUAUCAGUAAUUUUGCAUUUGUCUAUAAUAUCAUAAUAAAUUACUUAUCAGUUGAAUUACUGGGAUUAAGUAUGUGCACACUUUAUAUUUAUAUUUUGAAAAUUAUUGCAAGAUUGCCUUCAAAAAUGUGGUUAACAACUUUAUCUUCAAAUGGCAAUGAAUGAGAUUGCCAGCUUUCCUACAGCCUCACAGACAAUGGAUUUUAUAAAUAUUUAACAUUUUUGCCAAUGUGAUCACCCAAACUAUUGUCUUAAAUUGUAUCUCUUUUGUUUUUGAGUUUGGUCAUUUUUUCAUGUUUAUUAGCCAUCUGUAUUUUUUAAUUUCUUCUUUAUGUCCAAUUUUGUGGGUGGGAGGAGGAUUUAGUCUCUUCCUGAUUUCGAAGAGCUCAUUUACUAUUUCGGGAAAUAAGAUUUGGAUUGUCAACCAUUAUAGCUAUUUUUUACACACUUUUCAACUUUGUUUUUGUUAUAAGAAUGUGUAUGAUUGUUACAUGUCCAAGUAUAACCAUGUUCGCUUUUAUGGCUUCUGAGUUUCAUGUCAUUUUUGGAAAGAUAUAUAUAUUGAGUCCAUAAAACCCUUCACCUAUGUUAAAUUCUAAUUCUUUUGUGUUUUUUUAAUUCAAAUUCUUAAAUCAUGAGAAAUUUUUUUGUUUUGAAAUCUUAAAGUUGCCAAGUUACUUGCCAUUACUUGCGAUUAUUUGCCAAUAAUUGCCCAUUUAUCUGUACCGCCAUCUUGCGCAUAUGCUGUACUCUCAUCUGUGACUGGCUCCAUUUUUGUUCUGUGGAUUUGUGUGUCUCUUCUUCUGCCUCCUGUCUCGUGUCUGCUCGUUGGAAGAAAUUACAGUUUAGACUGCAAUUUCAUCAACUUUAAUAAAUCAAUUGAGGGGAGAAUUGGUUUUUAAAAAUAUUAAGUAAGUCUUCGUAUCCAAGGACAAGGUAUGUCUUUUCUUAUUCAAUAAUUUUAAUUACUGUUAAUAUUUUCACUGUGGUGAUGGGAGUUUUUCUUUUAAUUUAUUUUCUUGUUCAUUUUUUGUAUCUAAAGUUUUUGUUUUGUUUUGUUUUGGGGGUAAGUUGUCACCUUACUGUUUCUUGUUGCUUUUCAGAUUUUUUCAAAGUAUAGACUAAAUCCUUCACAAAUAUUUAAAGUUUUUAUUUUCCCCCUUCAUAUUGAUCCUGAUUUUAGUUAUGUUGACAAAGUCCACAGACUGUUACUAUCAGAACACUUGAACAGUUAUGGAAAUAUUACCUACCCUUGAUUUAAUCAGAGUUUAAUGGUAUGCUUCUUUGGUUUGACUGGCACAUUGUCGCUGGUCAUUUCCUCCCAAAGACCACCAGAAAGAGCUAUGAUCAAGCAAAGCUGAGUUUGUUAAACUUACCUGCAGCAAGGGAAAACACCACCUUGAUAGGGUUUAAUAAUGUUUCAAAAUCAAGAAAUGAGGCUUUGGGGUCUGGGCAGGGAACUAAUUAGAAAUGGGCAAAAUUUGUCAUGCAAUACCUUGUGGGAAAGUGAGAUGAGGUUCUUAAUGUGAGUAUUGAUGGUGAAAUCAUUUUCUAGGUGAGCUGUUUGCCUAUAUAAAGAUGUUAUCAAUGACAGAAGAACUAUUUGCCUAGAUAAACAAACUGAAUUUAUUUAUUGGUUUACAGUUUUAUCUUGCUGGGCAGGACUCUGCUGGGGGUGGUAUCAGGUCUUAUUCCCAAUAGGUAAGUUAUUUGGAUAUGGGUGGUCUUAAUCAUCAAUGUGUAAAAUGCUGAUUUUAAGUGCGAAAUACUUUGUCUACCAUGUUAGGAAAGUCUGCCACCUUUUAUCUUUUUUAAGGAAUUUUAAUCAAAACCAGGUGGUAGAUAUAAUCAAAUUGUUUUGCAGAAUCAAUUUUCCUGUUCUCUUUAAAGACUUUUAUCACUGUGAAUUAAUUUACUAUUAUUGCAACUUCCUUUAAUUCCUUGAAUGAACAGACCCUACUGGUUUUAAAAAUGUUUUAUUCUUUUAAUUUACUACUUAAUUGUGGGUAUUUUAAUUUGAUUUGGAAUUUUUACAAGUAUACAACUAAGUGAAAUUGAUCUGUGAUUUUUCUUUUUUGUGCUAUUUUUGUCAUGUUUUGAUAUCAGAUAUUCUGGUUGUGUUAAAAUAAUUUUGAGGAUUUUCUUCUUAUACUGUGUUCUAGAGUGGGUAAAAAAGCCCUAGUCUCACUAUCAGUGUUUAAGUGAACACAUCAGUGACAUCAUCUGGACUCUCCUUUGUUUUUGCUGGUUUGGAGUUAGGACAUCUAGAAGUUUUUUUCUUUUUUUCCUUUUUUUGUAUGGUUAUUGCUUGUUCUUUGUUUUGUGUCAAAUUUAACCUGUUUUCUCUUAGCAAAUCACAGCUCAUGCAGAUUUUCAAACACAUUAGCCUUGUUAUACAAAGUGUUCUUUCAUCAUUCUAUUAAAUUUCCAUUUUCAUUCCAGUUAUAGUUAUUUCUGCUGUGCCUUUGUUAAUGAAUAAGUUUAAACAGUGGAUGUUUAGCAUCACUAGCCUUCCCCUUCCAUCUCCCUUAAUCAGGACCUUGGUAUAAUUUAUCAGGUAUUUUUUAAGGUUCUAAUUUACUUAUAUAUAUUGUUUCUGUAUUCUUUUGUUUCUUUUCUUAAUAAAUUCUUAAA